rfam:Monosiga brevicollis MX1 MONBRscaffold_49 genomic scaffold, whole genome shotgun sequence.
UCCUGCGUGGCGCAAUUGGUUAGCGCGUUCGACUGUUAAUCGAAAGGUUACGAGUUCAAGCCUCGUCGCGGGAG